AUUGAACGCUGGCGGCAUGCUUUACACAUGCAAGUCGAACGGUAACAGGCCUUCGGGUGCUGACGAGUGGCGAACGGGUGAGUAAUGCAUCGGAACGUGCCCAGAGGUGGGGGAUAACGCAGCGAAAGCUGUGCUAAUACCGCAUGUGAUCUGAGGAUGAAAGCGGGGGACCAGGCAGCAAUGUUUGGCCUCGCGCCUUUGGAGCGGCCGAUGUCAGAUUAGGUAGUUGGUGGGGUAAAGGCCUACCAAGCCGACGAUCUGUAGCUGGUCUGAGAGGACGACCAGCAACACUGGGACUGAGACACGGCCCAGACUCCUACGGGAGGCAGCAGUGGGGAAUUUUGGACAAUGGGCGCAAGCCUGAUCCAGCAAUGCCGCGUGCGGGAAGAAGGCCUUCGGGUUGUAAACCGCUUUUGUACGGAACGAAAAGGCUCUGGCUAAUACCUGGGGCUGAUGACGGUACCGUAAGAAUAAGCACCGGCUAACUACGUG
rnacentral:rRNA from 1 species